UUUUGUAUAAAAGCUUUUAUUAUUUUAUCAAGACAAUCCAGAAAAUGAGAAGGAACAUACCAAGUUCAUUUGUUUACAACUUUACCAAUGUAAAAAUAAAACAUUAAGAUAAUGCUACAUAUAGAAUAACUUCCAUCUCAAGAACACUUAAUAUGUCUUUCACAUGUUUAAAAUGACUGGUUCAGCCUUCUAUAAUGUAAAUACUCUCUGCAGUCAAACUACUGGUAAACAGACAUGUUCAACUUAAACAUCCAUAUCACACAGUUCCUUCCCUUUCUGAACUAGUCCAUGUGCAAUAUUAACGUAGGAAUAAGGUUUAAAAUAACACAAUUCAUGUAUUAGAUAUCGUAUUACAGUUCUUUUAUGUAGCAUAUAAUUUUAAACAUAAACAGAAAUACUGGCGCUAAUUACAAUCAUUGUAAGUUAGGAGUUUGGAAUGUCUUUCCAUUUUUUCUUCAAAAAAAAAAUAUUUUUAUAAAAAUCUACUUCAAAAUAUAUAUAUAUAAACAAUACCUGCUGUCCUUGACCCAAGGACUGUGGUCACAUGACUGACCUAGCAAAUCAGGAAAUUACUGUAAAGCAGAAGAUCUGGACCCAUAAGGUUCACUAAAGGGAAACCAUUUGUUGCAAUUAACUGACAGGGAAAAAUCAAUGUAUUUGUCAAAUUAUCUUUGCAAUAUAAAAUCAAACUGAAAAAGUAACAUUUAUUAAAUUUAAAGAUAACUUUAUUGUUAUACCUCACAUUUGAUAAACCUUUAGAUUACCUUACUUUGUGUCACAUUGUUGAAUAUUGAUUCCUUAUUAAACAGAUUUGUAAAGCUAUGACAUAAAAAUUUCAAUGUGACAAAACCGUCUGGUCUACAUAGUAAUUAAGAACUAAUUAGGGCACUGUUGUCAUAGCAACCACAGACUCUCCAGUCACCUGACUGACCUAGCAAACCAGCAAAAGUCACUGGUUAGGGCACUAUUGUCAUAGCGACUAGAGACACCCUCACAUGACUGUCCUAGCAAAUCUGACUACCUGAUUGGAUUAUUAAUGUUGUCAUACAACCCUCGACAUGGCAAUUCCUACAGCUGACCUGGCAAGCCAGAAAUAACAAAUAACAAACUGGCUGGGCACUAAUGCUGAAGGAAUUGACAUCUUGAAGGUGGCAGAGCAGCAUAAAAUCCCCAUCAGACAUCAGAUUAGGGCACUUUUGCCAUGGUAAUAGUGAUUAGAUCAGAGACAGCGUAGAACUAUUUUGUAUAAAAAUAUAACAAUACUUUGCCUUGGCAAUAACAAAUUGCACAGACUGGACACAUUCAAUGUUCACAAAAAAUAAAGAGUAAAAAGAAAACAAUAUAUUAUGUAGACUUUUUCAAAGUCAUACGACCAUAUGGACCACCUUUCACACGUGUACAAAUAAAAAUAAUAUGAGAACAUACACGCAGGGCAUAUAAUGUCACAUAUGGCCCUACUUAUAUUUUUCAAAGGGAAAGUUUCAAACUGCAUUUCUACUAAUAACUACACAACCUACAUUUACACUUUGACACCUACCCACUACUUUCAUUAAAAAUAUAAAAGCAAAGAGAUGAAAAAAAUAAGAUAUUCUGGCUUAAUUCUAGAUCACCUUUCAAAAAGCAAUACAUAUUGUAUGUAGUAUUUCAAAAUAUGCAAGAACAGAAAUUAGUUUUGGUUAUAUGAAACUGCUACAACUAAACAUUUUAUAGACAAUUGAUAAGAAUUAUUUCUAUUUCAUGGGAAUACAUAAUAAUAAUCAAAAAUUCUACUUUAAAUGCAUAUACAACAAUGUUUCUAAGAACAAAAAUUCUUAUAAAUCAAUAAGAAACUUUAUCUUUUUCAACUUUUACAAUAAUUACUUUAAAAACUAAUAUUGUGCUAUUAAAUGGUAAAUCAUUGUUUUUCUAUCAGAAUGUAUUGCAUGAAGUAAUUGAUGCAAUUUAUCACUUUAAUGCAAGAUACAAUAUUCAACGUUUGGUGGUAUAUAUAAAGAUAACUUUAUCUAAUUGGUAAAGAAGGCAACACAUAAACCUUUGAAAACUUGCUGAAAAAAAUCUUCUCACUUGCAACAAGAAAAGGAGAUCCUUGCUUCAGAAAAACAAUAAGGUAAAUGGAAUUUUGGAAUGACAUUAGUUGAAUUACAAAAUCACAUAUCUGAUUACAGAAAAUAAACUUUUAAAAAACAGUUACAUAAUAAACAUAUAUCAAAGAAUGUAAAGAAGCACAACCAUUUAAUAUAACCUUAUCUGUAUAUAGAACAUGUGUGUUAUUUGUGCAAUAUUAUGGAUUUAUACUGAAGAAAAGUAAUGUGUAUAAAAGUUGCAAUUAGUAUUCAUUUCUUUUCUCCAAACAUUUUAGUUGUUUAAAAUAUAUUGUACACAAUGAGAAAUACAAUGGAUAACAUUAUAAAUGGUAAUUUUCUCACUUUCUGUUAUGUUACAUACAUGAUUUGACUUUUAUUGCUAUGUUUUUUACGAUUUAAAAAAUUUAUACACUCAAGAAAUUCAGAAGUACAACAAAUUGCAUUAUAAUGUGUAUUUUUCUAAUUUUAUCUUUUAACUAAAAUUUAUUUACAUAAAAAAUGUUAUGACAAUAUUUAUAACUUUCUUCUCAUUCAAACUGAUGUAAAAUUACAGUGAUACACAUUAGAAAUAUAUCAUAGAGAACAUUGUUAGUUUGUGAAUUACUUUGAUGUUUAUGUUCGUUUGUAGGCAUAGUAUUCAUGUAAAACUACAAAUAAUAACUGAAACAUAAAUUUCAAGUGAAUAUAUACUGCCUAUAAUAAUCUAAUUUAACUCUCUAUCUUAAUUGGUAAAAUAAGAUUAUUUGGUAAAUACAAUAGACAAGCUGAAAGAAAUUCUUAAGACAAAAGUAUGUUCGAAAACAUGUAUGGCUAUAAAGUCUGAGACCUGAGCAGACAUUAAACAGAUAGUACAUGUCAAGAUAUGGAAUGAUUCUAGAUAAAUAUUUAUUUAUAAAUAAUCGCCAUAAAAUUUGAUAUGUGAAUACAUAUAAAAGUCUUUUUCCAACAGAACUGUCGCUUAAAAUUACAUGAAUUACUACAUAUAAGAGACAUUCAAUAGCCUUAUCACUAGAAGGUAAAUGACAUUCUUAUAGUUUCUAUCUUUUUCAUUUGGAGAUAAAUUACAAUUCAACUGAAUCAAAUUAAAACUUUCUCAUUGCUUAGCAAUUAUAAUUCUUACAAUAUAUCCAAUAUUAUUUUUCUUAAUGUUAAUGAAUUAAAAUGCUUUAUUAUUACCAUGCCAUUAAAAUAUACAUAUGAUUAGAAAUGCUUAUAAAGCAUUUCUAUAACUUCUAAAGAGUUAAUUCCCUUGUUAUGUAUUAUGAAAUCAACAUCAUAUCUCAUUGUUAUUAUGGUAACAUUCAAAUCUCCACAUCUAUAUAGGAUUAGGUAUGAUAAGAGCCAUUUAAAUCAUCCCUGAACAUCUAUAUAGGAUUAGGUAUGAUAAGAGCCCAUAUGUAGGUUAUGAUAAGAGCCAUUUAAAUCAUCCCUGAACAUCUAUAUAGGAUUAGGUAUGAUAAGAGCCAUUUAAAUCAUCCCUGAACAUCUAUAUAGGAUUAGGUAUGAUAAGAGCCAUUUAAAUCAUCCUGAACAUCUAUAUAGGAUUAGGUAUGAUAAGAGCCAUUUAAAUCAUCCCUGAACAUCUAUAUAGGAUUAGGUAUGAUAAGAGCCAUUUAAAUCAUCCCUGAACAUCUAUAUAGGAUUAGGUAUGAUAAGAGCCAUUUAAAAUCAUCCUGAACAUCUAUAUAGUAUUAGGUAUGAUAAGACAUUUAAAUCAUCCCUGAACAUCUAAUAUAGAUUAGGUAUGAUAAGAGCCAUUUAAAUCAUCCCUGAACAUCUAUAUAGGAUUAGGUAUGAUAAGAGCCAUUUAAA
rnacentral:lncRNA from 1 species